rnacentral:tRNA from 1 species
GCAUUGGUAGUACAGUGGUAGAAAUCUUGCCUUUCAUGUGGGAGACCAGGGUUUGAUUCCCAGCCAAAGCA